AAAAAUGUUUAGAAGUUGGCAUGAAGCUCGAAGGUGAGUUUUUUUUUUUUUUUUCUUCUUCUUUUUUAAUUUAUAUCUGACUUUAUAAUCACUUGUCACCGGAAAGAAUCAUUUCGUUUUCGUAUAACUAUCCUGACAUGAAACGGCAGGUGGAACCUACCGGUUUCACAGGUGGUACACGUGCCAUCAGAUCCCUUUGGAAUUUUUUUUAAAUUGAUCUCAUAAAAAGAUAUUUGCGAAUUAUUAUUAAUUUAGCAUUUGUCUUACCAGAAAUGUCUAGCGUAGAAUGAACAGAAAAUUACGAUGUUUUAUUAUUCAGCGCCUAUUCAUUAAACAUAUUAUAAAAACUACUGAAUCAAUAAUUAAUUUUGAAGAAAAAGUAGUGUCAUGGUUGGUUUCGCUUUUCAAAAAAUGGAGGACAAGGCUGAAUUUUGUCGAGAGUGAAAGUGAAGUUAUGCGUGAACACGAUAUAAAAAAAAUAAGACACAGUGCUACUAAAUUCUCUACAUUAAACUGUCCAGCUCUAUCCCGAACUUUAUAACACAUUUUUAAAGUAACCUCUAAAGAAUUUUAUUUAAAAAUUGGACCCACAUUUUUAAAUAUCUCUUAGCAAAAGAGAAUGUGUUGCAUUCUCAAGAUGUAUCAUUUCCGAGAGUAAUCGAGAAAUCGGUUAAACAACAACAUCCUCUUAACGGUAGUUUUGCCAUAAUAGCGACAACAUUGGACUACUGUAUUUGCUUCCAAAUCCUAAAGAUGUCACGUGUUGUAGUUAAUAAUACACGCCGGUAUGAUAAUAUUGACCCCCCGAAAAUUUUCGAUAAAUUUUUACAUUAUAAUUGCGCCAUUUUUUAAUCAUUUAAAGUAAUAUAUGGCGAUUUAAAAUAGGAAAUUUGUCGUGUUGUGUAAACUUCUCGCAAGAAAUUAAAAUAUGUUAUGGUAGCGUAUUUGAAAAAUUAAUAUAAUUGUCCUUAAAUCAGUUCGUACUAUAAUAUUUCAAUCUCUGCUUAUAAAUGAAUCGGUCUAAUUUUAGAUGCCACGUGUGUUUGUGUACUAUCUGGCCUGCAGAUUUUUCUCGAUUUUCAGUUCUUUAUCUAUAGGGGAACAAAAACUGGGUCGACCCUCUCUCUCUUUUUUUUUUCGAUAGAGCUGGCGGUAUAAGUAUAAUAAUUGUAUAAAAGAACGGGUGAUUCCAUUUAUUGACUGCUAAAACCCGGUAGAUGAGUGACAUCGCAUCCGGUUUGUUUGUAUGUCCGUGACGCGUCGCUUCCCGUUUCUCUUUCGCGUGACGUCACGGACCGCGCAUGACAAUUCUGGUAACAUCGAUUUAGCAUCCAGCUUGAGAGCUGUCAGUGGGUUAGUAGGUCUGCGGUGAAUCACGAAGAAUUUACUCAAUAGUUUUUACUUUCUUAGAGUAAUUUAGGAUUGUUCAUAACUUAAUUUAUCGUAAUAAAUAUGACCGAUAAGUUUAGCAAACAAUAAAAAGGGGGUAAUUACAUCAUAAGUUAAUGUUUUUAACAUUGUUACACACGUGGGUUUGAAUUUUUUUUUUUUAGAAUUUGAAAUGAUUUUUUGCACAUUUUUUUUUUCCUUUUCUUAAUUCCAUCCUGUUUAAAUAUUUAGAAUUUGUCUCAUUUAGGUAUCUAUGUAUAAUCUACGA
rnacentral:lncRNA from 1 species